UGAUGGCAGAGAGGUCACACCCGUUCCCAUACCGAACACGGAAGUUAAGCUCUCUAGCGCCGAUGGUAGUUGGGACCUUGUCCCUGUGAGAGUAGGACAUCGCCAAGC
rnacentral:rRNA from 1 species